rnacentral:rRNA from 1 species
UACGUAGGUGACAAGCGUUGUCCGGAUUUACUGGGCGUAAAGAGCGCGCAGGCGGUCGAUCAAGUCGGUCGUGAAAUCCCUCGGCUCAACCGAGGAACGUCGAUCGAUACUGCUGUUCUUGAGGAUUGCAGAGGAGACUGGAAUUCCCGGUGUAGCGGUGAAAUGUGUAGAGAUCGGGAGGAACACCGGUGGCGAAGGCGGGUCUCUGGGCAAUUCCUGACGGCUGAGGCGGCGAAAGCGUGGGGAGCAAACGGG